GACGAACGCUGGCGGCGUGCUUAACACAUGCAAGUCGAACGAUGAAGCCGGAGCUUGCUCUGGUGAAUUAGUGGCGAACGGGUGAGUAACACGUGAGUAACCUGCCCUUGACUCUGGGAUAACUGCGGGAAACUGUAGCUAAUACCGGAUACGACCCUCGGAGGCAUCUCCUGGGGGUGGAAAGAAUUUCGGUCAAGGAUGGACUCGCGGCCUAUCAGCUAGUUGGUGAGGUAAAGGCUCACCAAGGCGACGACGGGUAGCCGGCCGGAGAGGGUGACCGGCCACACUGGGACUGAGACACGGCCCAGACUCCUACGUGAGGCAGCAGUGGAGAAUAUUGCACAAUGGGCGCAAGCCUGAUGCAGCAACGCCGCGUGAGGGAUGACGGCCUUCGGGUUGUAAACCUCUUUUAGCAGGGAAGAAGCGAAAGUGACGGUACCUGCAGAAAAAGCACCGGCUAACUACGUGCCAGCAGCCGCGGUAA
rnacentral:rRNA from 1 species